AGCUUUGUGCAGUGGCAGUAUCGUAGCCAAUGAGGUUUAUGCAAGGCACAGUUACUGCUAAAAGGGGUAAAAAAAAAAAUACAUAGCUAAACAUUUUAGCUUUGAUUUUUCUGAAAGGAAAUAUGCCUAUUUUC
ensembl:snRNA U4 U4 spliceosomal RNA